rnacentral:rRNA from 1 species
GACGAACGCUGGCGGCGUGCUUAACACAUGCAAGUCGAACGGCAAGGCCCUGCUUUUGUGGGGUGCUCGAGUGGCGAACGGGUGAGUAACACGUGAGUAACCUGCCCUUGACUUUGGGAUAACUUCAGGAAACUGGGGCUAAUACCGGAUAGGAGCUCCUGCUGCAUGGUGGGGGUUGGAAAGUUUCGGCGGUUGGGGAUGGAUGGGCGGCUUAUCAGCUUGUUGGUGGGGUAGUGGCUGACCAAGGGUUUGACGGGUAGCCGGCCUGGGAGGGUGACCGGCCACAUGGGGACUAAGGUAGGGCCCAGUCUCCAACGGGGGGCAACGGUGGGGAGUCUGACACAGUGGGCGGGCGUGUGUGAAGACGACGCUGCGUGCGUAAAGCCGGUUUGUGGGUAAUGAAAAGCAGCCGCCUGUGACGCAGCGGUAGUGACGGUACUGAAAGAAGAAGCACCGGCUAACUUCGUG